GACGAACGCUGGCGGCGUGCCUAAUACAUGCAAGUAGAACGCACAGUUUAUACCUUAGCUUGCUACACCAUAGCCUGUGAGUUGCGAACGGGUGAGUAACGCGUAGGUAACCUGCCUGGUAGCGGGGGAUAACUAUUUGUAACGAUAGCUAAUACCGCAUAAUAUUGAUUAUUGCAUGAUAAUUAAUUGAAAUGUGCAAUUGCACCACUACCAGAUGGACCUGCGUUGUAUUAGCUAGUAGGUGAGGUAACGGCUCACCUAGGCGACGAUACAUAGCCGACCUGGGAGGGUGGACGGCCAAAAUGGGAAUGAGACAAGGGCCAGAAGGCUAAGGGGGGCAGGAGUAGGGAAACUUCGGAAAUGGACGAAAGUCUGAACGAGAAAAGCCGCGUGAGUGAAGAAGGUUUUCGGAACGUAAAGCUCUGUUGUAAGAGAAGAAAGGGUGUGAGAGUGGAAAGUUCACACUGUGACGGUAUCUUAACAGAAAGGGACGGCUAACUACGUG
rnacentral:rRNA from 1 species